UUUUGUUUGUUUGUUUGUUUUUCCCUACACUGUGCUGUGGAGCUUGGUGGUGUGGGUAUUGUCCUUAAGCAGGAGUGUGUUCAAGAACAAUCUUUGGUGGCUAGAUGUAAUGCUCAGCCCGAGCCUCUAGCUUAGAAAAUUUCUGAACAAAUUUCCUUGCUGUGACUGCCAGGAGCUGAGAUGACAUGACAGGGAGGAAUUGCUUCUCACCUCCUCCCUCUCCUCACCUGAGCACCUGCUACCAACCAUGCUUAGUGCAGGCAAGUUGGUAAUGUUCAUCAGUGACCUUGAUUUAAUUAUAAGUAUCCUGGGAUAAGAAUUUCAUCUUUGAAGAUGCCCAGCAGACUGUGGAUCUGCUUCUGGUGGGAGCAAAAUGCAAUGACGGUGGAGGCAAUGGAUGCUCGCUCAACCUGUUGCAACUAACUACCCUAAGCAGCAGACUUGGUGACACUUCAAGAGGCACAGAGCUCUGCUUUAUGGUAACUACAAAACUCAUGAGGUCUAGAGGAGAUGUCCUGGUGGUUUCUGGUGAUAGAUUUCAGUGGCAUUUUGAAGGUGAAGGAAUCCAGAUACCAAUAACUAUUCAGAAAGUUCAUUAAAAUGUCUGUCUGCACACCAGUAAGUAAACUGCUCAAGGAACGAAUGGUAAAAAGAAAGCAAACGGCGUACGUGUUGUGGUGUUAAAAGAAUUCAGAAGAGGAAAAAUUCCACUUGUUGGAGAAAAAUACUUGACUGACCAGUGCUCGUUAGCAUUUUGUAGCACCCUGUCAUCUUACUGAGCAUCACUUUACAAUUACAAUUUAUAAACUCA